rnacentral:antisense_RNA from 1 species
UUGGCGGUAGACCCAACAUUUCACAACGCUCUUUCGUCAUCGUCAGACAAAUCAGUCCGCGGCCGUGAGUCGCCAUAAAGUUAAUUGCUUCCGGAGUAAUAUGCUCCGCAGCCAUGAUUA